AUGAACGCUAGCGACAGGCUUAACACAUGCAAGUCGAGGGGCAGCACAGGUAGCAAUACCGGGUGGCGACCGGCGCACGGGUGAGUAACGCGUAUGCAACUUACCUAUCAGAGGGGGAUAACCCGGCGAAAGUCGGACUAAUACCGCAUGAAGCAGGGGCCCCGCAUGGGGAUAUUUGCUAAAGAUUUAUCGCUGAUAGAUAGGCAUGCGUUCCAUUAGGCAGUUGGCGGGGUAACGGCCCACCAAACCGACGAUGGAUAGGGGUUCUGAGAGGAAGGUCCCCCACAUUGGUACUGAGACACGGACCAAACUCCUACGGGAGGCAGCAGUGAGGAAUAUUGGUCAAUGGGCGCGAGCCUGAACCAGCCAAGUCGCGUGAGGGAUGAAGGUUCUAUGGAUCGUAAACCUCUUUUAUAAGGGAAUAAAGUGCGGGACGUGUCCCGUUUUGUAUGUACCUUAUGAAUAAGGAUCGGCUAACUCCGUGCCAGCAGCCGCGGUAAUACGGAGGAUCCGAGCGUUAUCCGGAUUUAUUGGGUUUAAAGGGUGCGUAGGCGGCCUUUUAAGUCAGCGGUGAAAGUCUGUGGCUCAACCAUAGAAUUGCCGUUGAAACUGGGGGGCUUGAGUAUGUUUGAGGCAGGCGGAAUGCGUGGUGUAGCGGUGAAAUGCUUAGAUAUCACGCAGAACCCCGAUUGCGAAGGCAGCCUGCCAAGCCAUGACUGACGCUGAUGCACGAAAGCGUGGGGAUCAAACAGGAUUAGAUACCCUGGUAGUCCACGCAGUAAACGAUGAUCACUAGCUGUUUGCGAUACAGUGUAAGCGGCACAGCGAGAGCGUUAAGUGAUCCACCUGGGGAGUACGCCGGCAACGGUGAAACUCAAAGGAAUUGACGGGGGCCCGCACAAGCGGAGGAACAUGUGGUUUAAUUCGAUGAUACGCGAGGAACCUUACCCGGGUUUGAACGCAUUCGGACCGAGGUGGAAACACCUUUUCUAGCAAUAGCCGUUUGCGAGGUGCUGCAUGGUUGUCGUCAGCUCGUGCCGUGAGGUGUCGGCUUAAGUGCCAUAACGAGCGCAACCCUUGCCACUAGUUACUAACAGGUAAAGCUGAGGACUCUGGUGGGACUGCCAGCGUAAGCUGCGAGGAAGGCGGGGAUGACGUCAAAUCAGCACGGCCCUUACAUCCGGGGCGACACACGUGUUACAAUGGCGUGGACAAAGGGAUGCCACCUGGCGACAGGGAGCGAAUCCCCAAACCACGUCUCAGUUCGGAUCGGAGUCUGCAACCCGACUCCGUGAAGCUGGAUUCGCUAGUAAUCGCGCAUCAGCCAUGGCGCGGUGAAUACGUUCCCGGGCCUUGUACACACCGCCCGUCAAGCCAUGGGAGCCGGGGGUACCUGAAGUCCGUAACCGCGAGGAUCGGCCUAGGGUAAAACUGGUGACUGGGGCU
rnacentral:rRNA from 1 species